rnacentral:rRNA from 1 species
GCUGGCGGCAUGCCUAACACAUGCAAGUCGAACGGUAACAGCGGGAGCUUGCUCCCGGCUGACGAGUGGCGGACGGGUGAGUAAUGCAUAGGAAUCUGCCCAGUAGCGGGGGACAACCUGGGGAAACUCAGGCUAAUACCGCAUACGCCCUACGGGGGAAAGCGGGGGACCUUCGGGCCUCGCACUAUUGGAUGAGCCUAUGUCUGAUUAGCUUGUUGGUAGGGUAACGGCCUACCAAGGCGACGAUCAGUAGCUGGUUUGAGAGGAUGAUCAGCCACACUGGGACUGAGACACGGCCCAGACUCCUACGGGAGGCAGCAGUGGGGAAUAUUGGACAAUGGGGGCAACCCUGAUCCAGCAAUGCCGCGUGUGUGAAGAAGGCCUGCGGGUUGUAAAGCACUUUCAGUAAGGAGGAAAACCUGACGGUUAAUACCUGUCGGGCUUGACGUUACUUACAGAAGAAGCACCGGCUAACUCCGUGCCAGCAGCCGCGGUAAUACGGAGGGUGCGAGCGUUAAUCGGAAUUACUGGGCGUAAAGCGCGCGUAGGC